UAGGGUUUUGCAGAGAAUAUAAUGGUGGUGCAGAGAGAGAGAGAGAGAGAGAGAGAGAGAGAGAGGAAGAACAGAAGAUAAACAAGAAAUUAAGAAAACAAAAGAGUGGGGAGAGGCAAUAAUUAGGAGAUGGACCAGUGUGCAGGCUGUGAGAGAGAACUAACAUGACCUUGUCGGUUGUUUAGCAAGAGUCCCACUGUCUCUCUCUGUUUUCAGUCCCUAAUUUUCAUAACUGUUUUUUUAGUACAAAACCCACAAACCAACCUAACCUGUUCCUCGGAUCGAUGGGUUUCAUGGGUUUGGAUAGGGUGUUAGGAAACACAACUCUCCAAGGCAUCUUUGUUUCUCUUUUCACAUAAAAAUUUAAAAUCUUAACUUCUUUUUUAUAUCUCUACAUCUAUCACACUCUCUUACAUAUAGUGUGAACUUCUGGCGGUG
rnacentral:lncRNA from 1 species